rnacentral:antisense_RNA from 1 species
AUAGGAAUAAAUCUCUUUCUAGUAAUGUUUUGCAACUCUACUAUAACGGAUUUAUUCGGCUCUUU